GACCCCGAUGAGUUGGAAAGAAUGGCGGUAGCUACAAAACCUUGGGCAUGAGCCUGUGCGGAGCAGCCGUUAAGUGUAGAUCUUUGUGGUAGUAGAAAAUAUUGAAAUGAGAACUUUGAAGGCCGAAAAGGGGAAAGGUUCAAUGUGAACGGCACCAGCACAUGGGUUAGUCAAUCCUAUGGGUCGGGGGAACCCCGACAGAUAGCGCGUUUCGUGCGUACUCCAUAAGGGAAUGGGUUAAAAUUCCUGAACCGGAACAUGGAGGUUGACGACAACGUUAGGAAGUCGGCAAACGUUGGUGGGAGCUUCGGGAAGAGUUGUCUUUUCUGUUUAACAGCAUACCCACCAUGGAAUCGACUUGCCGGAGGUAGAGUCCAGCGGCUGGAGGAGCACCUCACGUCACGUGGUGUCUAGUGCCCUCCCGGCGAUCCUUGAAAAUCCAGAGGACCUAAUGCCGUCGACACUCGGUCAUACUCAUAACUGCAUCAGGUCUCCAAGGUGAACAACCUCUAGUUGUUGGAACAAUGUAGGCAAGGAAAGUCGGCAAAAUGGAUCCGUAACUUUGUGAAAAGAAAUAUGCUCGGAGUGUUUGGGAAGGGGGUCCUAAUACCGAAUCCACUGGCUGUCGAUGAACUGCAUGAGCUGAUCCC
rnacentral:ncRNA from 1 species